UAUAUGUGGUACAGAUAAUUUUUGGAACUAGUCUAUGUAUCUACUCCACAAGCUAAGGCCCUGAUCCAGCAGAGCACUCACACGCAUGUUUAGCUUUAAGCACUUGCAUAAUCAACUAAGUGAUUUGAAUGAAUGGGACUACCUGUUUUUUUGGUCUUGUCAUCCCCACAAUAGAAUGGUGAAGUCUUUUAUUUGCAUUAUUUAACUGCUGCAUCCCAUAGGCCAGGGCCUUUAACAGAUCAGCAAAACCUUUUAGUGUUCUUCAGCAGCUAUUGGGUGUGAUUCACCACUGGGUUACUCCUGUUUUAAAUUGGGUUAACCCUAUUAGUAAAAUGAUACUGAGUCACAAAAGUAGCAUUUUUAUCCAAAGUGGGUGAGAUUUAAUGUUCAGAGUGUUAAUUUGGAUGACACAUGUUUGACAUACAAUCCAAAUGGUUGUAGGUGGCAGGAUGAGGACUUUAGCUUUAGACAUCUAAUGACAGAACAAGCAAUAUUGACCAUAUAUUUUAAAAAGUGGUUUAAAAUUAAUGGUAUUAACCCAGCAUAAAAAUGGAGUGAUGCAAUGGGGAGUCAGGUUCAUUUUAUUUAUUUAUUUUUUUAAAUAGAAACAAGCCCUGCUAGACAGGGUGGAGCACUGAAAGAAAGAGUGUUCCCCCAGCAAUAACAUGCCCAUAUCCCUCAAUUUCAGUAAAUCACAGGUAAAAAGAAACUACAGUGUGGGUCUCAUAAGAAUGCAUGUCUCAAGAUUUCUUAUAUUAUUUAGUUCUACUAUUUUAUUAGUUUAUAAAACAAAGAGAUGAUUGCUCAGAUACUUAAUCUAAACUUCUGUGUGAAGGGCUUUAUAAACUGUGCUAACACUGAGUGGUGUCCAGUGUAGAUUGGCACAGAUUGUAAUGGGUGUAACUCACAGCCUCAUGGAGCAUGUAAGAAGUCAUGCUUUGCUCAGAGGGGAAGUAUGUUCUAGUGGUUAGGGCACAAGCUUAGAACCUGGGACAGCUUAGUUCAAUUCUUUGCUACACGGCCAAGGGCAGGCUGCAUAAACUGGGGAGAAGGGACUCCCCUUGUAACCUCCCUUUGCACAUCUACAGAAGGGGCAAGCAAAGUCUGUCCCUUCAUAUAAUCUUUAAGUUUAAAAGUAAAUAAUUAUAUUAUUAGGCUGAAAUUUUCAACAGUGCCCAAGGGAUUUGUAUGGUUGUUUCCCAUGAAAAUAAAUGGGAAUUGGACUUCCAGAUCCACUACUCUCCUUCUUCUUCAAAUUCUUGGCUCUUUAAUUAAGCUCAUGAAUCUGUUUGUUUCCUUUCACACUGUGGUGAGCUUUCUUGCCCAAUGGGUUCUCCUGGGUUCUCCCAGUACUCAUUUUCAUUCGUUCUGUGUAAAUUCUGCCCAAGAUGUUUCCCUAAAGCAUUCCCUCACAAUGCAGAGGCAUGAGAGUGUAUUUUCUUCUGUUAUGCUGGAAGCUCCCUAUCUCUGUAAUCCUUGUGUUCAAAACCCUCCAUUGAUUUAUGAGCAGUUAAACACUAAUUUAGCUGCAGUGGAAUUUUAGGCUUUUGAGAGUUCAGUCAUAAGAUAAGCCACAUCACUAAAACUUCUAUGUGCUGGUAGUGACAGAACCCAGUUUAUUUAGCCUGUGUUUUUAACUCUCCUGCUUCAAUUCAUACUUCCAAUGACCUUAUCAGCAGGAGAGCAAAAUGAGAACUGAGAAGUAGGAGAAAGAGCUGAUACUAAAAGCUUUGAUCAAAAUUGGUAUUUUCUGUUCAUUUCAAAGGAUUGUUUUCUUUCUUUUAUGGCUUUCCCCCAUAUCUAUUCUAAAUGGAAUCUGAAAGUAAAACGAAAACUACAGAAUCAGUAUAAAAAUAUAUACUUGUGAGUAUAAAAAAAUGUGAAGGCAUGACAUUGUCUGGAAAACCCAUGCAUAUGUUACCACUUCCCUAAGGAAGGCUUGUUUCUCUCUAAGGUACAAUCUCUCCCUGAGCCACUCUGCCCUCAAUACAAUUUUUACUCCAAUAGUUACAGAUAGCAUUAACCAUACCAAUUGUAAUAGUGUACCUAUUAAAUAGUAUGCUUCUGUAUAUACAUGUAUACUGUUGCUACAGGUAAGGUUGUACAUAUCUACCUAGGGCUGUAGUCUGCUCAUAGUGAAGGCAAAAGAGCUACAUGGCAGGAGCAGAAUGCAGAAUUUUCCCUUCAUUUUGUAGUUUUAUUAAGGGCUGCACGUGCAAUGGAACUUCAAAGAGUAAGAAUGAUAAAUGAUUUGGUUGCAGGGUUAGACAAAUCUUUGGUGGGACACAUGCCCCUGCUUAAUAGGAUGGAUUUUAUGAUCCCUGAUCCUUUGAGUUUCCAGUAACAGGGGGAUGAGUUGUGGGUUUUUUUCUGGUUGGUUAUUUUUUGGUUUGGAGUUUGAGCAUAUUUCUUUGUUUCUAUAUGGUGGGAGCGAACCUUACAAAUAGUUGAUUUUCUUUGAAUGCUGAAUGUAGAUGCAUUUUUCACUAAUUUUAUUGUCAUGAGGUUUUUCAGAAUUGAUUUGAUUAGUAUUGUUAAUUGACUUACUGGUAACUGGAUGAAAGAAGCACCUGAGAUAAUUGGGUGAAGUAGCCUUAGAGAUGUAGAGAAUAACAAGUGCCUUUCUGCAAACUGCUGGCUUGUUUGCACCAAGACAGUCAGAUAACAUUUUUUUUAAAAAUGUUUUGCUUUGUUAUCUAAUGUUGGUUUGUUCACUGGCCUUUGGGAAAUGCCUUCGUAAUCUCUGUUCAGUUUCUAGUGGACAGAUUUCCCCAUCAGCAAAACUGGCACUCAUUUGGCAUACUUAAUGACAGUCUCAGCAGAGAGUCCAAUGACUGAACAGACGGGGAGAGUGACCUUUAAAAGUAAUUCUUUAAUAAAAUCACAUGCUAAGAUUUUGCUGUGUUCCCAGCAAACAGACUGCUAUGGCACAGAGGAAAAACUGUAAAACAUAAAAUACAUGUAGUUCUUUGUGUGUGCCCCUUUCUUGCUGCUCUUUCUACAAAUGCAGCCACCUUCUAGCUCAGUCUUAUAUGUCCUGGGAGCAAGAUAACUAUAGAAGCAGGCCAGGGAUAGCAUUUGAAAAGCACUAAUGUCUUUUGAAAACAAAUGGAGGGGAAAAUAGGCAAGGAUCUCAGUGAUGCGGCAGAACAAGCUGUAUUUUUAACCUGAAAAAGGAAACAAAACUAUCUGCUAUUUUCCUAUUAAAUGCUUCUAACAGGAAGGGUGAAAAUGUUGAAUUAUUUAUAGAUAAGUGUAUUUUCUUAUUUGUACCUUAAACCAUUGUUACUCUGGUAUGAGUUUCUGCAGGGACUACAAUACAGGUCCCAGGAUGGCCAAUAUCUAUACCCUACUACCCAGCAGCUGUGAUAGGGCUGCAUCCAUUAUCAGACUCUAUGGAGAGCACCACCACAAGAACCACCACCUCAGAAGGUUUCCCUGACAGCUUCCUUCAUGAUCCUUGAUUAGUCCAGGCACUCUACUUAAGCCUAGGUGGAGUUCCAGGAGGUGUCUAUGCAACAUGGUGGACCCCAUUGUCAGCUGUAGUGAUGGAUCUGACUCCUGGUUCCUGAUGCUGACUUUUUUACCUUCAGUGCUGUUCCUGGUCUCUGAUCACGACUCUUCUGACCGCCAUGCCCUGGUCGUGAUAUCUGGCUGCUGAGGGGAACGCAGCCUUUUCCUCGAGUUAUACAGUAAAGCCUUGAUCCUGCAAACUUGUGUGGUGUACACCAUCCAGGAUUCUGUACGGAAAGAAGACCGGAGUUAUUUAGUCUGACAUUAUUAUGUGCGUUAUGGUGCCAGGUGCUUUACAAAUGCAGAGUAAGACAGUGUCUGCCCACAUUGACAAGAGAGACAAAGAGGAAACAGGACCAGAUUGAAUAUUCAAAGAACCUGGCUAAAGAUUCUGACUUGCUGGCUGGGGAGCCUUCCUCCUCUGAAUAUGCUACAAACGGUUAUCAAAGUCCUUCCUUACUAGCAAUCUUAGGCAGUCUUCCCAUUCACUGCCCCUAUGGUGCCACUUCCUCAGUGGCUGGUAGCAGAACCAGGCCCACCCUCUACUCUGGGUUCCAGUUCAGAUUGACUCUGACUCUGUAGUAAUCUGUGUGGCUUUUUCCUCCAUCUCAUGUAAUGACUCCUCCCCAGUUCCUCACCACACACAAGGAAGUCCUUAGCAGCAUGACUCCAAUCAGGUAGAACCUGGAGCUUCUUCCAUUGGAGACAAACACUGGAAUGCUGCCCAUAUCCAGGAGGGAAGAAGACCAGAGAAACUUUGAGUAGAACCUUGCAGAGAUCAAGUGGAAUAACAUACACAGGAGAACACAGUACCCUACACCAAAAAUUGGAGGGGAGGCGCUGGUGGUAAUUUUGGAACCACUGAAGAAUUCCAAGAAUAGAGGUGGGGGGUUGUCUGUUUGUUUCCAAAGAGCUAUUUAAAAAAAAUAAACAAACAAAUCUGUCACUAAGUUACAUUUGGAAAAAGAAUAGAACAUCAAAAAUGCCAGGACUACUUCUGCUAACUAGAUUCCAUGACAUCAUGAAGUUAAGUUGACCAGCAUUCUUCUAUUUAAAUAUAACAUUGCAGGUGCCUACUUUUUGCUAUUGUGGAAAUAAUUAUCUGAAAUUAAAUGUCACUAAAUCAAGCUUCUAAUUAGUAAG